ACACGGGAAAGGAGGUGGUCCAGCGUUGAAUAGCUACAGGACUCGUCGUGAGGUGGCUGUCCGCUAGCACCACUGGAUACGUCUGACGGCCGCAGUGGAAGCCGGUUGUGGUGCCGGCGAAUCCCAGGCAGUCACCCGUGAUCCCCGGGCCCGAGCCCGUCCAGCUCGGCUUGCGCAGCGUCCGCUGCGGCCCGGGGAUCAUGCAUGUC
rnacentral:sRNA from 1 species